rnacentral:tRNA from 1 species
GCCGAAGUGGCGGAAUUGGCAGACGCGAACGACUCAAACUCGUUUGGGAAACCGUGUGGGUUCGACUCCCACCUUCGGCA